GGAGAGUAGGUAAAUACUGGUUUGUUACGCUCGCCUGCUAAGUGAGUUUACGUAUAGUACGUGAUGAAGGUUCGAUUCCUUUGCUCUCCG
rnacentral:tRNA from 1 species